CUUCGGGGACAUUGGUGUCAGGUGGUUCAUGGUUGUCGUCAGCCCGUGUCGAGCGAUGUUGGGUUAAGUCCCGCAACGAGCGCAUCCCUUGUCUUUAGUUGCCAUCAUUAAGUUGGGCACUCUAGAGAGACUGCCAGGGAUCACCUGGAGGAACGUGGUGAUGACGUCAAAUCAGCAUGCCCCUUAUGCUUAGGGCUACACACGUGCUACAAUGGGUAGUACAGAGGGUUGCCAAGCCGUAAGGUGGAGCUAAUCCCUUAAAGCUACUCUCAGUUCGGAUUGUAGGCUGAAACUCGCCUACAUGAAGCUGGAGUUACUAGUAAUCGCAGAUCAGAAUGCUGCGGUGAAUGCGUUCCCGGGUCUUGUACACACCGCCCGUCACACCACGGGAGUUGGAGACGCCCGAAGCCGAUUAUCUAACCUUUUGGAAGAAGUCGUCGAAGGUGGAAUCAAUAACUGGGGUGAAGUCGUAACAAGGUAGCCGUAUCGGAAGGUGCGGCUGGAUCACCUCCUUUCUAAGGA
rnacentral:rRNA from 1 species